GGGCGCAGCAGGCGCGAAAACUGCACAAUGCUGGGAACAGCGAUGCGGGAACACCAAGUGCCGGCACAAAGUGUCGGCUGUUCCAUUGUCUAAAAAACAUAGGAAGUAAGGGCUGGGUAAGACGGGUGCCAGCCGCCGCGGUAAUACCUGCAGCCCGAGUGGUGGCCGUUAUUAUUGGGCCUAAAACGUCCGUAGCCGGUUUCGUAUAUGCCUGUGUAAAUCGAACGGCUUAACCGUUCGAACUGCGGGUAGACCGCGAGACUAGGGACCGGGAGAGUCACGAAGUACUCCGGGGGUAGAGGUGAAAUUCUGUAAUCCUCGGGGGACUACCGGUGGCGAGGGCGCUACACUAGAACGGCUCUGACAGUGAGGGACGAAGCCCUGGGGCGCAAACCGGAUUAGAUACCCGGGUAGUCCAGGGUGUAAACGCUGCAGACUUGGUGUCGGUGAUCCUACGAGGGUUGCCGGUGCCGGAGAGAAGUUGUUGAGUCUGCCGCCUGGGGAGUACGGUCGCAAGACUGACACUCA
rnacentral:rRNA from 1 species